GACGUAGGGCGCGAGCGUUGUCCGGAUUUAUUGGGCGUAAAGAGCUCGUAGGCGGUUUGUCGCGUCUGCUGUGAAAACCCGAGGCUCAACCUCGGGCCUGCAGUGGGUACGGGCAGACUAGAGUGCGGUAGGGGAGAUUGGAAUUCCUGGUGUAGCGGUGAAAUGCGUAGAUAUCAGGAGGAACACCGGUGGUGCAGACGGCUCUCUGGACCGUAACUGACGCUGAGACACGAAAGCGUGGGUAGCAAACAGG
rnacentral:rRNA from 1 species